AACGAGAGAACACCGCCUGCAGCUAGAACAGCCUGGUCAGGAGCGUAACGGAGUGGUGCGCCAACGUGAGAGGAAACCCGUGCGCGGCUGCGCUUUCCUGUCCCCAAGCCGUUCUAGACGCGGGUUGGAGUGCAAUGGCGUGAUCUCGGCUCAUCCCAACCUCCACCUCCCGAGAUCGUGCCAUUGCACUCCAGCCUGGGCAAUGAAGCAAGACUCCAUCUCAAAAACAACAACAACAACAACAACAACAAAUGUAUGAGUUGGAUGAGUUUAAUUUUUUGCUUUCUGUUUCUGCCUAAAGAUAAACCAAUUUAGCAUAUAUUGAUAUUAAGAUGUCUGCCAUAUUUUGAACGUUAGCCUGUUGAUUUACAGUCUUCCAAAUAAGACUGAUGCCUGAAGCUCAUUUUUUGGUUAACUGCUUCUGUUAGUUGCACACCUUUUCCUACCUUCCUCUAAUCUUAAGUCUAUUUAGUCAUUUGAAAUAUCAGUUUUCACCUGUUAGUAUUACUAGCUAUGUUUGCUAUAUUUCACAAAUACAUUUCUAAAACAAUCCAUUAAUUAGAAUUGGACAUUAAUAGUGAGGCAUGUCAUUCUCUGUAACAACUAAGAUUUUAAGUAGAAAUUAUUUCACUAAUUCAUCUUUUAUUUCUCAAAGUAUUCAAGGCUAAAAUUUGGAGUUCUUUAAUUUUCAUUCUAAGAGGCAAGUAUUAAUUAUACUAAUGAGUUCAGAUGUUUUUAUUUAUUUUUCCUCCCAAUGACCUAUUCUUAAUGAACAUGGUAUUAUUAAGAGACAUUCCAGUGAAUCAUCUCCUGUAUUUUUUUACAUGCAUAAAUUAUAUUCCCUAAGGCCAGACUCUUAAACAGACAGAUGAACCUAAUAGUCUCAACAAUGAUUUAAAAACUGGCCCUCAAUUUUCUUCAUUCAUUCCUGAUCUCGUGGAGUUGUGGUCCUUUACUUGGUUUUAACACAGUAUUCAACAAAUUGUUGUUAUAGUUGAUAACAUCUACUCAUUCUUUUACCUGCCUUAAAAAGUGUAAUAAAAGUAUUCAUACAAAGUAUAAAAUACAUACAAGUAUAAAAAUGUAUAAUACAUUUAAUUUACAUGCAUCUCUACAAUGACAAGUAUGAUUUCUUUAGAAACUGAUGCAUACAUUUUCACUGUUUUUCUUUCAUUAUAUAUCAGUUUUAAUGCAUACUACUUAGAAAUUAGAAUCAUUUUGAGUUUCUUGAAGAGCCUUGAUAAUUAUAGUCUCAAAAUUAAGGAACCUAGACAAACAAAGUUAAAAUAUUUAUGACAUUUUGCUUGGGCAUACAUUCAUAUUUCCAUUAAUAUAUAAUUGCUACAUUAUUAAUAAGUGACAUAUUUAUUAUAAUGAAACACCUCCACGAAUUUAGUGAAUUGUAAUUCUUAUCUCUUCCUCUGAAGUAUUAUACUUAGAAAUACGUAUCUUCAGUUACUGAUUUGGGUACGACAGGGAACCUGGCUGGAUAUCAUUAUUAUUUGAUAUAUGCCAUAUAACCUUCUGUUUGGGGAAUAUAAAAUCCCUCAAAUUGGAAAUGUUCAUGACUACCCAUGGGAUAAAUCCAGCUGUUUUUGUUUGGGGUCCAGAGCAUAAAAACAGAAAAGGAAAAAUGCAGCUUCCCAACAGACCACUACCAAACCACCAUAACAGACAGUCUGCUAGAAGAGAACUGAUCAGGCCAUUAUGUCACCGGACAACAGGACAAUCAUCUGAGUUGGGAUGCUGAAUCACGGCAACUCCAAGACAUCUGGGAUUUUUUUUUUACCCUCACAUUGGAUACAAUCUAUGGAAUAUUACUACAUUUAGUUCAUUUGUAAUUUACAAUUUUUGAUGACUAAAAUUGGAAAAGGAUUAGUACAUUCCUACUGGCUUUACAUAUUAGUAUUGGGCUGUCACCAUUACCCAGAUUAUUUAAAAUGUAAAUUUUCUUUACUCACUAGAUUGGAAGCUCCUUAAGAGCAAGGGCUACUUCUGUAUUAUUCAUCUUCAUGCCACGUCACUUAGAACCUAGUAGAUACUCAAUAAAUACCUAUUGAGCUGAACUGACCUUGUCUGAGUAAAAGUGAGUCCAAUACACAAGUUACUAGAUUGUAGGUUGGUUUGACACAAACUUAAUUUUGAAACUAAAAAUGAACUAAAGACACACUGCCUGAGAGAAGCAGGCUCUCUAUCCCUGUAUUCCUAUUCUCACGAAUAUAGGUAAACUAAGUUUCCAUUAAGCACAGUAUCUAAAGAUGCUGACACAUCUGCUAGUUUAAUCUCUUUGAAUUGCCUUUCAUGUAUGACCUAAUGUUUAGAAAAUGACAAGGAUCACACAUGUAGAGUGACAUCCCUGAUUAACAGUGAUGAGCAGAGGCCUCAGACCCAGGGGAAGCAGAGAACAUACAUAUUUAGUCCAUAUCACCAAGGCAACACAGUGUACCUCAGCACAGUAGAAAAACAAGCACAGAUGUUGAUGUUGAAUAUUUAAAAAGUGUUCCUUACACCCACUGUAACAGUGGUUAGACACAAAGAUGAAUUAUUUCAAAAACCAAGCUAUUAAAAGUUUUUACUUCUCUAAUGUAUGUAUAUGUGUGCUUUGUUUUUCAUUGCUAAUACUCCAUAGGCAGUCUUGGUCAAAAAACAUUCUCUUAGCAACAAAAAUAAAGGUUCAAAGUUUGAUUCUGA
rnacentral:lncRNA from 1 species